AACUUUUAAAAUCGGUCAUGGUAAUAGUCAACCUUAAAAAUCUAAUUUUUAAGAUUUUCUAUUAGCAUGACUGAUCUUAAAAGUC
rnacentral:miRNA from 1 species